rnacentral:rRNA from 1 species
CCUACGGGUGGCAGCAGUGGGGGAUAUUGCACAAUGGGGGAAACCCUGAUGCAGCGAUGCCGCGUGAAUGAAGACGGCCUUCGGGUUGUAAAGUUCUGUCGCCGGGGACGAAAAAGACGGUACCUGACCAAGAAGCCCCGGCUAACUACGUGCCAGCAGCCGCGGUAAUACGUAGGGGGCAAGCGUUAUCCGGAUUUACUGGGCGUAAAGGGAGCGUAGACGGUAGUGCAAGUCUGGAGUGAAAGGCAGGGGCCCAACCCCUGGACUGCUCUGGAAACUGUCCGGCUGGAGUGCAGGAGAGGUAAGUGGAAUUCCUAGUGGAGCAGUGAAAUGCGUAGAUAUUAGGAGGAACACCAGUGGCGAAGGCGGCUUACUGGACUGUAACUGACGUUGAGGCUCGAAAGCGUGGGGAGCAAACAGGAUGAGAUACCCGAGUAGUC